rnacentral:rRNA from 1 species
UACGGGAGGCAGCAGUGGGGAAUUUUGGACAAUGGGCGCAAGCCUGAUCCAGCAAUGCCGCGUGCAGGAAGAAGGCCUUCGGGUUGUAAACUGCUUUUGUACGGAACGAAACGGUCUGGGUUAAUACCUCGGGCUAAUGACGGUACCGUAAGAAUAAGCACCGGCUAACUACGUGCCAGCAGCCGCGGUAAUACGUAGGGUGCAAGCGUUAAUCGGAAUUACUGGGCGUAAAGCGUGCGCAGGCGGUGAUGUAAGACAGUCGUGAAAUCCCCGGGCUCAACCUGGGAAUUGCGAUUGUGACUGCAUCGCUGGAGUGCGGCAGAGGGGGAUGGAAUUCCGCGUGUAGCAGUGAAAUGCGUAGAUAUGCGGAGGAACACCGAUGGCGAAGGCAAUCCCCUGGGCCUGCACUGACGCUCAUGCACGAAAGCGUGGGGAGCAAACAGGAUUAGAUACCCUGGUAGUCCACGCCCUAAACGAUGUCAACUGGUUGUUGGGUCUCUUCUGACUCAGUAACGAAGCUAACGCGUGAAGUG